rnacentral:rRNA from 1 species
CCUACGGGAGGCAGCAGUGAGGAAUAUUGGUCAAUGGGCGGGAGCCUGAACCAGCCAAGUCGCGUGAGGGAAGAAGGUACUGAGUAUUGUAAACUUCUUUUGCCAGGGGACAAAGGCGGCCACGGGUGGCCGUAAGAGGGUACCUGGAGAAAAAGCAUCGGCUAACUCCGUGCCAGCAGCCGCGGUAAUACGGAGGAUGCGAGCGUUAUCCGGAUUUAUUGGGUUUAAAGGGUGCGCAGGCGGGCCUUUAAGCCGGCGGUGAAAUCGCGGGGCUCAACCCGGCAGAGCCGUCGGAACUGGGGGCCUUGAGGGCAGCGGAGGCAUGCGGAAUGCGCGGUGUAGCGGUGAAAUGCAUAGAUAUCGCGCAGAACCCCGAUUGCGAAGGCAGCGUGCCGUGCCGCCACUGACGCUGAGGCACGAAAGCGCGGGGAUCGAACAGGAUUAGAUACCCCUGUAGUC